UACGUAGGGGGCUAGCGUUGUCCGGAUUUAUUGGGCGUAAAGAGCGCGUAGGCGGCUAGGUAAGUCCGACGUGAAAUCUGGAAGCUCAACCUCCAGCGGUCGUUGGAAACUACUUGGCUAGAGUCCGGAAGAGGAGAGUGGAAUUCCUGGUGUAGCGGUGAAAUGCGCAGAUAUCAGGAAGAACACCGAUGGCGAAAGCAGCUCUCUGGGACGGUACUGACGCUGAGGCGCGAAAGCGUGGGGAGCGAACAGG
rnacentral:rRNA from 1 species